UUUUAGAAUCAUUCAAAACAACACAGCAAGUUAAAAUAAGGCAGUGAUUUUUAAUCCAGUCCGUACUCAACUUGAAAAAGGGAGCACCGAUUCGGUGCUUUUGUG
rnacentral:sRNA from 1 species